CCUACGGGUGGCAGCAGUGAGGAAUAUUGGUCAAUGGACGAGAGUCUGAACCAGCCAAGUAGCGUGAAGGAGGAAUGCCCUGUGGGUUGUAAACUUCUUUUAUCAAGGAAUAAAACGUGGCACGUGUGCCUGUUUGCAUGUACUUUAUGAAUAAGGAUCGGCUAACUCCGUGCCAGCAGCCGCGGUAAUACGGAGGAUCCGAGCGUUAUCCGGAUUUAUUGGGUUUAAAGGGAGCGUAGAUGGGUUGUUAAGUCAGUUGUGAAAGUCUGCGGCUCAACCGUAAAAUUGCAAUUGAUACUGGCAGUCUUGAGUACAGUUGAGGUAAGCGGAAUGCGUGGUGUAGCGGUGAAAUGCUUAGAUAUCGCGAAGAACUCCGAUUGCGAAGGCAGCUUACUAAACUGUGACUGACACUGAGGCUCGAAAGUGUGGGUAUCAAACAGGAUUAGAUACCCCAGUAGUC
rnacentral:rRNA from 1 species